rnacentral:rRNA from 1 species
CCUACGGGACGCAGCAGUGGGGGAUAUUGCACAAUGGGGGAAACCCUGAUGCAGCGACGCCGCGUGGGUGAAGUAGCGCCUCGGCGCGUAAAGCCCUGUCAGCAGGGAAGAAAAUGACGGUACCUGAAGAAGAAGCCCCGGCUAACUACGUGCCAGCAGCCGCGGUAAUACGUAGGGGGCAAGCGUUAUCCGGAUUUACUGGGUGUAAAGGGGGCGCAGACGGCGAUGCAAGCCAGGAGUGAAAGCCCGGGGCCCAACCCCGGGGCUGCUCUUGGAACUGCGUGGCUAGAGUGCAGGAGGGGCAG